rnacentral:tRNA from 1 species
GGAGGGUACGCGAAUUGGUUAGCAGCCUGACUCGAAAUCAGGUGCCGGCUUGCCGGUUGUGGGUUCGAGUCCCAUGCCCUCCG